rnacentral:rRNA from 1 species
GUAACGGCGAGUGAAGCGGCAACAGCUCAAAUUUGAAAUCUGGCCGCAAGGUCCGAGUUGUAAUUUGCAGAGGAUGCUUUUGGCGAGGUGCCUUCCGAGUUCCCUGGAACGGGACGCCAUAGAGGGUGAGAGCCCCGUACGGUAGGACCACCGAGCCUUUGUAAAGCUCCUUCGACGAGUCGAGUAGUUUGGGAAUGCUGCUCUAAAUGGGAGGUGUACGUCUUCUAAAGCUAAAUACCGGCCAGAGACCGAUAGCGCACAAGUAGAGUGAUCGAAAGAUGAAAAGCACUUUGAAAAGAGGGUUAAAAAGUACGUGAAAUUGUUGAAAGGGAAGCAUUCAUGACCAGACUUGGGCUUGGUUGAACAUCCGGCGUUCUCGCCGGUGCACUCUGCCAGUCCAGGCCAGCAUCAGUUUGCCCCGGGGGACAAAGGCGGUGGGAAUGUGGCUCUCUCCGGGGAGUGUUAUAGCCCGCCGUGUAAUGCCCUGGGGCGGACUGAGGAACGCGCUUCGGCUCGGAUGCUGGCGUAAUGGUCAUCAAUGACCCGUCUUGAAACACGGACCAAGGAGUCGUCUUCGUAUGCGAGUGUUCGGGUGUCAAACCCCUACGCGAAAUGAAAGUGAACGUAGGUGAGAGCUUCGGCGCAUCACCGACCGAUCCUGAUGUUCUCGGACGGAUUUGAG